CUUUGUCUCACUUUAUCUCUACUCUGCAUUCUCUAUGACACCGAGAGAGAGAACUACAACUGUUCCCUUCCAAUCUGAUCAAACCAAUAUCCAAAGACUUGAAGUUUAGACCUUUAGGACCUAGUGAACCCACCUGCACGGCUGCAUGUGGAAUCGGUGUAUCUCUGUGUAAUCUGCAAUGUACACCGAGAGCAUGAAGCUCUCAGACUAGCACUCAGGUGAUGCUUUCCCUUCCUAUCUUUGAAUAUCUGGGAUUUUCAUGUUGGUGAUAUGAUUUUGUGUGAAAUAUCAAAGGUUAAACCUUGUUACUUUCUCUGUGCAUGCACUGUGUAUUUAGUUCCAGAAUCCGACAAGGAAAAUGGGUCGGAGCUUGGAGAAAUCGAAGUGAUUUGCGUCUGAAAUAAACUUCAAACACUCUCAGAGAGAGACCAUCAUUUACAACCAUCACGUUUCACGACCAGAUUUAACUCGAGACCACCAUAAUCAGCUUUUGGGUGGUCUGGGGGUCCUGCAAACUGCUUGCAUGGAUAAUCGGAGCUCGGAACAGUGGCGAACUCUUAAAUCCGAGAGUUUCGAAUUUUCGUUGUCGAACUCAGUUUCCGAUGAGGGAAAUCCGGUGAGGCCGCGUCGAUCCGGAGAUGGACUCGACUUGAACUCGUCUAGUUCAAUAUUCUGAAUUUUAUGGCCCGAACCGGGAAGGUUCGGUCACCUAGUGAUUUAAAUUUGUGUCUAGGUAAAAUUCUGGGCUUCUGGUAUGAAGUUGGAGAAUGAAAUCAAAGGAAUUCAAACUGAUAUGUACUGUGUUUCAAGCCCCGGACCAUGCGAGCAUCACCGGUGCUAUUUUGGUGAAACUAUUACUUCCUAAUCCUCCUAAAUUGAAGUCUUGGUGCAAUAUUAAGGGUUACUAACUGGACUGAGGCAUCUAUUAAUGAUUGUGCUUGGAAUUUGGGUUUAGUUUCGAGGCACAUGAUCCCGGCGUCAGGAUGCUUCGGCUUAGUGAUUCUCGAGUCUUCUCAGUUUAGGUAUCAUUCUUGGGUUGGUAUAGUUUCCUAGUAAUUUUUCGACAUUAUUCUUAAUAGAUGUAUGAUCUGAAUACGUUCCUGUUCUGAUGUAA